AGUGGCGCACGGGUGAGUAAUUUAUAGAUAACGUGCCUUUUAGUCUGGGAUAGCCAUUGGAAACGAUGAUUAAUACCGGAUACUCCUUCUAACUCUAAUGUUAGUCGGGAAAGUUUUUCGCUAAAAGAUCGGUCUAUAUCCCAUCAGUUAGUUGGUAAGGUAACGGCUUACCAAGGCAAUGACGGGUAGCGGGUUUGAGAGGAUGAUCCGCCACACUGGUACUGAGACACGGACCAGACUCC
rnacentral:rRNA from 1 species